UGGGGAAUAUUGCACAAUGGGCGGAAGCCUGAUGCAGCGACGCCGCGUGGGGGAUGAAGGCCUUCGGGUUGUAAACUCCUUUCGACAGGGACGAAGCUUUUGUGACGGUACCUGUAUAAGAAGCACCGGCUAACUACGUGCCAGCAGCCGCGGUAAUACGUAGGGUGCGAGCGUUGUCCGGAAUUACUGGGCGUAAAGCGCUCGUAGGUGGUUUGUCGCGUCGUCUGUGAAAUUCCGGGGCUUAACUCCGGGCGUGCAGGCGAUACGGGCUGACUUGAGUGCUGUAGGGGAGACUGGAAUUCCUGGUGUAGCGGUGAAAUGCGCAGAUAUCAGGAGGAACACCGAUGGCGAAGGCAGGUCUCUGGGCAGUAACUGACGCUGAGGAGCGAAAGCAUGGGUAGCGAACAGG
rnacentral:rRNA from 1 species